rnacentral:rRNA from 1 species
AAACCGUUGGAAGGGAAGCGAAUGGAGUCGGCAAUUCGCCUCGCCUGAUUCAUCCACUCUCGUUCGGCAACGUGCUCUCUCGCGACCUGUCCCCAGGCGCGAAUUGCACGGUCGCGGCGCGAGUGUGGUGCACUUCGGCGGGCGAACGUCAACGCCAGUUAACCGCGAGUUACAAAGCUGCAAGCACGGUACAUUCUUCGGAAUGGGUAAGUCUUGCCUGCGCACGACUCGCGCGAGACUGUCCUAUGUCGCAGCGUGUCCCUUCCCGGCUUGCCGGUACAGGCUGCUGCCUUUGUUGUCGAUCUGGUGGUGCUGUCCGGCGGACGGCUGUGCGCCUGUGCGUCGGAGGUGCCGCUGAUCAACUGACCUAGCCGCAGACACGACGCGCUCAGUACGUUGACCGACUUGCGUCUCCAUCCGACCCGUCUUGAAACACGGACCAAGGAGUCCAACAUGUGCGCAAGUCUCAGGGUGAUCGAAACCCGUCGCGGGCGCAAUGAAAGUAAAUGCGGUCUCGCGGCUGCAGAGAUGAGAAGCGUGCAUCAUGUGUGCGCCACAUCAUCGACCGACCUGUUCUACUCUUAGAAAGGUUUGAGUUAGAGCGCACCUGUUGGGACCCGAAAGAUGGUGAACUAUGCCUGAAUAGGGCGAAGCCAGCGG